CUAAUGAUGUAAAGUGUUCUUGGCCACCGCAAUUUGCCUUUGUCUGGGAUUUACUGAUAAUCAGCUUUGGCCCAAUUUGGAGGGGCAGAGGAUAGGAAAUUGGAGAUGGUUCUUGCUUGAGAAAAUGGUGUGUGUGGGUGGUGGGGGUCUUGGAGAUUGAUCCUGGUGUCUUCUGCCCCCUCCCCACUUCCAGCGGCCCCACUGUCCUUCAUCAAGGCCUUGGCUAGGUCAUACCCCACUGGGACUUAAACUCUGGCUCCUGGCUGAGUGGUCACUCCCCUUACCCAGCUCCUCUGAGCCUCUCUGCAAUGGACCUGGACGCCUGGAUUCUGCUCGGUCCCGGGACACCUCCUUCAGGAAGAUGCUAGGAUUGGCCCUCCACCUCCUCAGCACCCUACCCACUUCCCUGGAGCCCACCCCCCACCCCCCUUUGCAGAGGCUAGGGGCUGGGGCUGGGGACUUUGUGGUAGGCAUCUCCUCAUGGGCCCCGUCCGAGUUUGGUGCACACUGUCCAUUUGGAGAUGUCACAGCACAUCCCUGAAACGUGCUCAGAUUAAGAGGGCAGGUGAGGAGGAACAAUGUUUCUUUGGAAAACGUCAUCGCCCUUAGACGAGGCUCAGUGCUGCUGGGGGUCCACACCAGUAGACAUCAGUGCCUCUCGGUCUAACCGCUCUGGGGCCUGUUUGAAGGAAUCGUGCUGUGAGAACUCCUUCAGCGUCCCUUGCACGUGCAUGUGACUCCUGAAAGACCACAGGCUGCUGGCUCGUAGAGAGGGCACACCUCGUGCUUAGGAAGAGGUGACGGCAACCUAAACAUCCCAAACAAAAGUUUUAAAUGUAAAAACAUAUCAAAUAUCCUAAUCAUGGGGAGGAGGUAGGGGCACAUUUACUCUCACUCAACCCAGAACUUGUAGCAGUCUACAAAGUGAAUGUAUGUGGAAGCAGCCUCUGAUUUACGUGUACAUACAGGAAGAAUAAAUUGCAAUCACACGAGGCGAA